GGGAGUUUGGCCGAGUGGUUAAGGCGCUGUGUUUAGGUCAUAGAUUCUGCUUUAUGCUGAUUUAUACCAUAAAUCCCGCAGUGGGAAACCGCGCAGGUUCGAAUCCUGCAGCUCUCA
rnacentral:tRNA from 1 species